GACAUAAAAAUAAGUUGAAUAGCAGCCAACAAUGGUCUCAACUGAUGACGAGUGCAAUUCUGUUCCUUUACAACAAGAAAGAUGCAAACUCCGGCGACGUAUGACGGUGGAGCUUAAGAGAACAACAACAAUGAUGGUCACUGUAGGUUAGCCAAGGCUACGAGCAAAACCCUCAUAAUAUCAAAGGAACCACCACUAACAAUUUGAACCUUCAUGAGACCACGAGUCUGCCGCCAACAUCGACGACGCCACCACAGCCUAUCGAUGAAGAUGAGAACAACGAGAGCAGCAAAACACGAAAG
rnacentral:lncRNA from 1 species